rnacentral:rRNA from 1 species
CUAAGAACUUUCCAGAGAUGGAUUGGUGCCUUCGGGAACUUAGAUACAGGUGCUGCAUGGCUGUCGUCAGCUCGUGUCGUGAGAUGUUGGGUUAAGUCCCGNAACGAGCGCAACCUUUUCCUUAUUUGCCAGCGGGUCAUGCCGGGAACUUUAAGGAUACUGCCAGUGACGAACUGGAGGAAGGCGGGGACGACGUCAAGUCAUCAUGGCCCUUACGGCCAGGGCUACACACGUGCUACAAUGGUCGGUACAAAGGGUUGCUACCUCGCGAGAGGAUGCUAAUCUCAAAAAGCCGAUCGUAGUCCGGAUCGCAGUCUGCAACUCGACUGCGUGAAGUCGGAAUCGCUAGUAAUCGCGGAUCAGAAUGCCGCGGUGAAUACGUUCCCGGGCCUUGUACACACCGCCCGUCACACCAUGGGAGUUUGUUGCACCAGAAGUAGGUAGUCUAACCGCAAGGAGGACGCUUACCACGGUGUGGCCGAUGACUGGGGUGAAGUCGUAACAAGGUAGGCGUAGAUGA